rnacentral:tRNA from 1 species
GCCGUCGUAGCUCAGCUGGCAGAGCGUAUUCUUGGUAAGAAUAAGGUGCUGGGUUCGACCCCCAGCGACGGCU